AUUGAACGCUGGCGGCGGGCCUAACACAUGCAAGUCGAGCGGAUGACGGGAGCUUGCUCCUUGAUUCAGCGGCGGACGGGUGAGUAAUGCCUAGGAAUCUGCCUGGUAGUGGGGGACAACGUUUCGAAAGGAACGCUAAUACCGCAUACGUCCUACGGGAGAAAGCAGGGGACCUUCGGGCCUUGCGCUAUCAGAUGAGCCUAGGUCGGAUUAGCUAGUAGGGGAGGUAAUGGCUCACCUAGGCGACGAUCCGUAACUGGUCUGAGAGGAUGAUCAGUCACACUGGAACUGAGACACGGUCCAGACUCCUACGGGAGGCAGCAGUGGGGAAUAUUGGACAAUGGGCGAAAGCCUGAUCCAGCCAUGCCGCGUGUGUGAAGAAGGUCUUCGGAUUGUAAAGCACUUUAAGUUGGGAGGAAGGGUUGUACGUUAAUACCGUGCAAUUUUGACGUUACCGACAGAAUAAGCACCGGCUAACUCUGUGCCAGCAGCCGCCGUAA
rnacentral:rRNA from 1 species